UCUUUUCUUCCCAAUUACCAACAACCAGGCUGUUAUUACAAAGGAAAAAAAUACCGAUUCUUUACGACUUUCAGAAGUGGUUGUGACUUGUGUAUCUGUAAAUUUUUUAAAGUUAGCUGUACCAGGAAGUACUGUUAACCUAAAGGAUCUGAAAAUGGGUGCAGUCGAGGAGGAUGAGAGAACAAAGAAGGUUUCAUGAUUAAGUGACGUAAUGAAUAUUAAAUCGUAUGGACGGCAUCGACGUUAGUUGGCUGACAGAAAUGGUCUUUCUUGGAGAACCAAAGAAAACUAACACCACCGAAAUAUAAUUAUACACUUCUUUUUAUAAAAUAAAAAUUCUCUAAUGAGUUCAAUCCUAAUUAA
rnacentral:lncRNA from 1 species